rnacentral:rRNA from 2 species
UCAGCCGCCUAAGGCAGGGCAGAUGACUGGGGUGAAGUCGUAACAAGGUAGCCGUAGGAGAACCUGCGGCUGGAUCACCUCCUUUCUAAGGAA